AAGAUUCGGCCCUCGGGCUGUAAACCUCUUCAGCUGUUGCGCUUCGGCUGCACGCUGUUGAACCUCACACACCUGUGCACACUUCGGUUGUGGCCUUUGCUGGUCGCUUCCGCUUUUCACAUACAACCACAAGUCCAGAAUGUAACAAACCAUAAAAGUAA
rnacentral:misc_RNA from 1 species